AAUCAACGCUGGCGGCGUGCCUCAGACAUGCAAGUCGAACGAUUAAAGCUCCCUUCGGGGAGUGCAUAAAGUGGCGCACGGGUGAGUAACACGUAAGUAAUCUACCCUCGAGUGGGGAAUAACGUCCGGAAACGGACGCUAAUACCGCAUAAUGCAGCGGAACCGCAAGGUGACAGUUGUUAAAGGUUUAUCGCUUGAAGAGGAGCUUGCGGCAGAUUAGCUAGUUGGUAAGGUAAUGGCUUACCAAGGCCGCGAUCUGUAACCGGUCUAAGAGGACGGUCGGUCACACUGACACUGAAUAACGGGUCAGACUCCUACGGGAGGCAGCAGUCGGGAAUUUUGGGCAAUGGGCGAAAGCCUGACCCAGCAACGCCGCGUGAAGGAUGAAGUAUUUCGGUAUGUAAACUUCGAAAGAAUGGGAAGAAUAAAUGACGGUACCAUUUAUAAGCUCCGGCUAACUACGUGCCAGCAGCCGCGGUAACAC
rnacentral:rRNA from 1 species